GGCUGGAUAGCAAAGUGGUAAUGCAGGAGCCUGCAAAGCUCCCAUUCGUCGGUUCGAUUCCGACUCCGGCCUCCA
rnacentral:tRNA from 1 species